rnacentral:rRNA from 1 species
GAUGAACGCUAGCGGCAGGCUUAAUACAUGCAAGUCGAGGGGCAGCGGGGGUAGCAAUACCUGCCGGCGAACCGGCAAACGGGUGCGGAACACGUACACAACCUUCCUAUGAGUGGGGGAUAGCCCAGAGAAAUUUGGAUUAAUACCCCGUAAUAUUAUUGAGUGGCAUCAUUUAAUAAUUAAAGCUCCGGCGCUUGUAGAUGGGUGUGCGUCUGAUUAGGUAGUUGGCGGGGUAACGGCCCACCAAGCCUUCGAUCAGUAACUGGUGUGAGAGCACGACCAGUCACACGGGCACUGAGACACGGCCCAGACUCCUACGGGAGGCAGCAGU